UUCAGCAGCCCGCGGUAAUACGUAGGGUGCGAGCGUUAAUCGGAAUUACUGGGCGUAAAGCGUGCGCAGGCGGUUAUGUAAGACAGGUGUGAAAUCCCCGGGCUCAACCUGGGAACUGCGCUUGUGACUGCAUAACUUGAGUGUGGCAGAGGGGGGUGGAAUUCCACGUGUAGCAGUGAAAUGCGUAGAGAUGUGGAGGAACACCGAUGGCGAAGGCAGCCCCCUGGGUCAACACUGACGCUCAUGCACGAAAGCGUGGGGAGCAAACAGGAUUAGAUACCCUGGUAGUCCACGCCCUAAACGAUGCCAACUAGGUGUUGGGGAAGGAGACUUCCUUAGUACCGU
rnacentral:rRNA from 1 species